UCCAUUUUUGGUGGAGGUCGUAAAUCCAUUUUUGCCAGACAUGGCAUACCAAACACAGUGAUGAGUGACAAUGGAUGAUGUUUCAGCAGCAGAGAAUGGCAUGACUUUGAGCAUGUCACUUCCAGCCCUCUGUAUGCACAGUCGAAUGAGAAAGCGGAAAAGGGAGUCCACAUCCUCAAACAGCUCCUGAAGAAAGCUGCUGACAGUGGCUCAGAUCCCUACCUUGCUUUACUGAGCUACAGAGCAUCACCCUCGGAGUGUGGACUGUCACCUGCUGAACUGCUGAUGAAUCAAAAACUGCACACCACACUGCCAAGACAACUAAGCAGUUUCCACUAGUGUCAACUAAUGACACAGUCGGGGUCAAAAAUCCUGGUGGUUGGGAGACAACAGCUACUGUUCUUCAAGAAGUAGCUCCACGAUCGUUCAUUGUGAGGACCGAGGAAGGACAAAUCCUCAGACGUAAUUGCCUCAGUCUUAUGAAAACACAAGAGACUGUCCCCAAACUCAGCAAAGCCCAUACUGAGUCCAUGUCUCCACCUCCCACAGACUGGAGCACCAAUGCACAUACUCAAGAUGAGACUGUGCUGAGAAGAUCUACAAGAGAAAUCAGAAAACCUGAGAGACUGAACUUGUGAUCAUGUGGCAGCUGCAGCUGUGUUACUACCCCUUGCACUGAAGGCCCGCUAGGAAGGGAUCUCUUUAUGACUACUACAAACAGGAGGAAUAAUCAUCAAUAAUGUUUUCAAUGAACACAUAGGCAUAAGCAGGCCUAGGAGGAUCAUUAUGAUUCACUUAUCCAGUUGUAAAUGAGAAGUCAUGGACAUCUGCUCCUUUGGGAAUCUCCACCCCUUUGAAUAGAAAAUAGAGCUUAAAAAUCUGCUAAACGAGGUAGCGGCAACCGGGAUCCUUCUCUUAUACAGAUCUCAAAACUGCCCUUGUGCAUGGAGACAAUUUCUCAUCAGGCUCCAGCAGCCGGAGCACCAAGCUCAUUCACGGAGGAGUCCGAUAUCUACAGAAAGCCAUCAUGAAAUUGGAUUACAAACAGGACAACACAACGAUGCUCGAAUGAACCUCACCAUCGCCCUCACUGCUGCCAGGUAUGGGGCUGCCAUAGCCAAUUACACUGAAGUGGUGCACCUACUGAAGAGGGCAGACCCUCAGACGGGGAAGGAGAGGGUCUGCGGAGCGCACUGCAGGGAUGUGAUCACAGGGCAGGAAUUUGAUGUCAGAGCCAAAUGUGUUAUCAAUGCCACGGGACCUUUUACAGACAUGCUGCGGAAAAUGGAUGAUCAGACGAACCCCGACAUCUGUCAGCCCAGUGCUGGGGUGCACAUCGUCAUGCCGGGCUAUUACAGUCCCGACAACAUGAGCGCCUGGAUCCUAUCGCGUCAUCUUCUUACCAGGAAAGGAUGCCCAAACACACCCACACACAGCAAGCCAUCCUAGUGGAGGAGAGCAUCAAUUUCAUCCUGACUGGUCCAGAACUACCCAACUACCUUCGCCAGGACAUAAAUGUUGGGCAAAGUCUUGUCUUGAUCCUGACCAAGGCGACGAGAACUAAAAGUUUUGACCAGUUUGCAUCCUGUGUUGGACAGCUACUUGAAGCCCUGUGCCAUGAGACAAGCUCAGACGGAUGGAUUUCAACACUAAUCCGUUUGAUGUAAGUGAAUUUAGGUUCUAAUUCAUGGGCUUGUGCACUGUACAACAAGC